GGUUACUAUGGCAUCGGCCUUCCAAUGAGCAUGGUUUUAAUGUUUGUUGUGAAGCUCCGAGGUUUAGGUUAUUGGCUGGGUCUCCUCAUCUGCGUCUGCUUGUAGUCGACCUUCUACAUCAUCGUCAUCUUCAAGCUAAACUGGAAGAGAAUGACGGAAGAGGCUGUAAAACGAGCUCAGAAAAACACAAACACCACGUCAUUAAGCGCAGUUUCCUCUAACAGCACUGCUGACCAGAUGGCACACAGCGAGC